UCAUAUGCUUAUCUCAAAGAUUAAGCCAUGCAUGUCUAAGUACACAGACUAGUACUCUGAAACCGCGGAUGGCUCAUUAUAACAGCUAUGAUUUGAGAGAUUUAAUGCUUGCUACAGGAUAACUGUGGUAAUUCUAGAGCUAAUAUUUGAAAAAAUGCCGUGACUUCGGAAGCGGCGGAUUUAUUAGAUCAAAAUCAACCUACCGGCAACGGUGGUCUUUUGAUGACUCUGGAUAACUGAACUGAUCGUACAGCCUUGUGUUGACGACAUAUCUCUUGAAAUGGCUGACCUAUCAACUUUCGAUGGUAAGAUCAAAGCUUACCAUGGUUGUAACGGGUAACGGGGAAUCAGGGUUCGAUUCCGGAGAGGGAGCCUGAGAAACGGCUACCACAUCCACGGAAGGCAGCAGGCGCGUAAAUUACCCAAUACCAGCUCGGUGAGGUAGUGACAAUAAAUAACAAUAUGAGCCCUUGUGGUUUCAUAAUUGCAAUGAGAACAUUUUAAAUACUUUAUCAAGUAUCAAUUGGAGGGCAAGUC
rnacentral:rRNA from 1 species